rnacentral:rRNA from 1 species
UCAACGGAGAGUUUGAUCCUGGCUCAGGACGAACGCUGGCGGCGUGCUUAACACAUGCAAGUCGAGCGGUAAGGCCCCUUCGGGGGUACACGAGCGGCGAACGGGUGAGUAACACGUGAGCAACCUGCCCUUCACAUCGGGAUAACCCCGGGAAACCGAGGCUAAUACCGGAUAUGACCACCGACGGCAUCGUGGGUGGUGGAAAGUUCCGGCGGUGAGGGAUGGGCGCGCGGCCUAUCAGCUUGUUGGUGGGGUAGUGGCCCACCAAGGCGACGACGGGUAGCCGGCCUGAGAGGGUGACCGGCCACACUGGGACUGAGACACGGCCCAGACUCCUACGGGAGGCAGCAGUGGGGAAUAUUGGACAAUGGGCGAAAGCCUGAU